GACGAACGCUGGCGGCGUGCUUAACACAUGCAAGUCGAACGGCAAGGCCCUGCUUUUGUGGGGUGCUCGAGUGGCGAACGGGUGAGUAACACGUGAGUAACCUGCCCUUGACUUUGGGAUAACUUCAGGAAACUGGGGCUAAUACCGUAUAGGAGCUCCUGCUGCAUGGUGGGGGUUGGAAAGUUUCGGCGGGUUGGGAUGGACUCGCGGCUUAUCAGCUUGUUGGUGGGGUAGUGGCUUACCAAGGCUUUGGCGGGUAGCCGGCCUGAGAGGGUGACCGGCCACAUUGGGACUGAGAUACGGCCCAGACGCCUACGGGAGGCAGCAGUGGGGAAUAUUGCACAAUGGGCGGAAGCCUGAUGCAGCAACGCCGCGUGCGGGAUGACGGCCUUCGGGUUGUAAACCGCUUUCGCCUGUGACGAAGCGUGAGUGACGGUAAUGGGUAAAGAAGCACCGGCUAACUACGUG
rnacentral:rRNA from 1 species